rnacentral:rRNA from 1 species
AUACGGAGGGAGCAAGCGUUAUUCGGAAUCACUGGGCGUAAAGGACGCGUAGGCGGGUUUGUAAGUCAGGUGUGAAAUCCUACAGCUCAACUGUAGAACUGCACUUGAAACUACAGACCUAGAGUAUGGAAGGGGCAGAUGGAAUUAGUGGUGUAGGGGUAAAAUCCGUAGAUAUCACUAGGAAUACCGAAAGCGAAGGCGAUCUGCUGGGACAUUGCUGACGCUGAGGCGUGAAAGCGUGGGGAGCAAACAGGAUUAGAUACCCUAGUAGUCC